AAUUUUGGACAAUGGGUGAAACCCUGAUCCAGCCAUCCCGCGUGCAUGCUUAAGGCCUUCGGGUUGUAAAGUACUUUUGGCAGAGAAGAAAAGGUACCUCCUAAUACGAGGUACUGCUGACUGUAUCUUCAGAAUAAGCACCGGCUAACUACGUGCCAGCAGCCGCGGUAAUACGUCGGGUGCAAGCGUUAAUCGGAAUUACUGGGCGUAAAGCGUGUGUAGGCGGUUCGGAAAGAAAGAUGUGAAAUCCCAGGGCUCAACCUUGGAACUGCAUUUUUAACUGCCGAGCUAGAGUAUGUCAGAGGGGGGUAGAAUUCCACGUGUAGCAAUGAAAUGCGUAGAUAUGUGGAGGAAUACCGAUGGCGAAGGCAGCCCCCUGGGAUAAUACUGACGCUCAGACACGAAAGCGUGGGGAGCAAAC
rnacentral:rRNA from 1 species